rnacentral:lncRNA from 1 species
AGUUUGACUGUGAUGCUUCUUGGUGUAGGUUUCUUUAAGAUUAUUCUGUUUGGGGUUCACUCAGCUUCUUAAAUGUACAGGCAUGUGUCUUUUGCCGUAUUUAGAAUCUUCCAGCCAUUAUUUAUUUGAAUACUUUUUCAGUCCCACCCCCUUCCUCCUUUCCUUCUGUCACUAUGAUGACACAAAAGGUAGCUCUUUUGUCAUAUUCCCACAGAUCCCCAAGUCUCCACUCAUUUUUCCCCCAGUCACUUAGGCUCAGGCCACAUGUUCUGACCGGGGGUUUUAUUGUUAGUUCCAUUUCAAAGCCUUUGCAAUGGUAUUUGGUUCUGUUAAGCAUGAUCAGCAGUCUUGGAGCUGGCGAGGUCUAUAUCCCUUACUCAGUGCAGUUCUCAAAGUCCUUUGUAUGUCGUACAGGAUCACAUCUGUACAUACACACCUUGUGGGGUAAGCCCAGAAGCUCAUACACAGCUUCAUGGGUUUACUUUCCCAAGCACUUCCUCCCUCCCUGCAAUCUCCCCAGCACUUUCUGCUUCCCUCAGCUUCCCCUUUUCAACCUUGUAGCCAUGAAGCUGUUGCUGUCGCUUUAGUGACUCUUCUCUGCCACACGCUUCCUGUGCCUUUGCCUUCCUCUGGUGUGAUUCGGCAGGAAGACCAAAGAGGGGAAAAAGAAGUCACGGGCACCCCUUUGGGACCUACAAUCAGAGAGGAAGGUUACUUUCCUUCAGAGCUUUAAUCACCUGAAGGCCCUGGCGGCUGCCACUGUCACUGUCACUGCCUCUGUCACCACCACUGCUGCCACAGGAUUGCCUGUGGGCUAGAACAUGAAAGUACAAAGAAAAGAAGAAAGAAAAACUGGGGAUUCCCUUAACUAUCGCUGAGGGUUAGUAUUCCCUUUUCCCUCUUCUCAAGUCAGAACCAGAGCUCUCUCUGUUCACACCACUGUCUACUUCUAACUUGCAGGCUACGUUGAGCCAAGGAUACUAAAGGGGGGAAAAUGUCAAAUUCACUGCUGUUUCAGUGGUGCUUCAAAUUGUAGUCUUUCCCCGGUCUGCCUCCUUCCAUUUACUUUUCAGAGUCCUCAAAUAGCUGGCCCAUGCACUGUGUCCACAUUUUAUAGCUGCAUUCAGUAGAGUGUGCAUGCUUCAUCUCACCCAGGAGCAGAAACAUUCUGGAGAUGUUACAUUUUACUUUUACAUUUAAGUGGAACAAAUUUGUUCCCUUGUAAGUAAUUGAUGUGUGUGUGUGUGUGUGUGCACGCGCGCGUGUGCACGCGCACGUGCUUAGGUGUCUUUAAUUUAAAGAAUUUAAGAAAUUCUUUAAUUUUUUUUGAAGUACCAUAACACAACUAGAAUAUAUCUCAAUAUUGAUUGUUCUGCAUCAAUUUUUGAUGGUAGAGACUUUGUCGUUUUGAGGAGCAGGUUCAAUUCUUCCUUUAUUUCUGGAAACUUUUCACAUAUGGCAUCUGUGGAUAUUUUUCUAUCCCAUUUAUUAGGCUCUUUACUUAAGGCAUGUAAAUUAUCUUAAUGUUGGAUCAGCAUUAGCGUGACCAUCUAAAGUCCUUCCUCCAUGCCCUUGUUUCGAUUUGUGUGCAUGUCUCUUCUGCAUCUUGCUCUUCCUAAUUUACUUCUUUGAUCCACCAUGUGGUUCUUUGAGUUCUCGGUUUCUUUUCUGAGCUCAGUAAUCUCCUUUUU